AGAGUUUGAUCAUGGCUCAGAUUGAACGCUGGCGGCAGGCCUAACACAUGCAAGUCGAGCGGUAGCACGGGAGAGCUUGCUCUCUGGGUGACGAGCGGCGGACGGGUGAGUAAUGUCUGGGAAACUGCCUGAUGGAGGGGGAUAACUACUGGAAACGGUAGCUAAUACCGCAUGACCUCGCAAGAGCAAAGUGGGGGACCUUCGGGCCUCACGCCAUCGGAUGUGCCCAAAUGGGAUUAGCUAGUAGGUGGGGUAAUGGCUCACCUAGGCGACGAUCCCUAGCUGGUCUGAGAGGAUGACCAGCCACACUGGAACUGAGACACGGUCCAUACUCCUACGGGAGGCAGCAGUGGGGAAUAUUGCACAAUGGGCGCAAGCCUGAUGCAGCCAUGCCGCGUGUGUGAAGAAGGCCUUAGGGUUGUAAAGCACUUUCAGCGAGGAGGAAGGCGUUGUACUUAAUAGCUGCAGCGAUUGACGUUACUCGCAGAAGAAGCACCGGCUAACUCCGUGCCAGCAGCCGCGGUAAUACGGAGGGUGCAAGCGUUAAUCGGAAUUACUGGGCGUAAAGCGCACGCAGGCGGUUUGUUAAGUCAGAUGUGAAAUCUCCGAGCUUAACUUGCGAACUGCAUUUGAAACUGGCAAGCUAGAGUCUUGUACAGGGGGGUAGAAUUCCACGUGUAGCGGUGAAAUGCGUAGAGAUCUGGAGGAAUACCGGUGGCGAAAGGCGGCCCCCUGUACACACACUGACGCUCAGGUGCGAAAGCGUGGGGAGCAGAACAGGAUUAGAUACCCUGGUAGUCCACGCUGUAACGAUGUCGACUUGG
rnacentral:rRNA from 1 species